rnacentral:rRNA from 1 species
UUAGAUACCCGCGUAGUCCCAGCCGUAAACGAUGCGCGUUAGGUGUAUCGACGACCACGAGUCGUCGAGGUGCCGAAGGGAAACCGUGAAACGUGCCGCCUGGGAAGUACGGUCGCAAGGCUGAAACUUAAAGGAAUUGGCGGGGGAGCACCACAACAGGUGGAGCCUGCGGUUUAAUUGGACUCAACGCCGGGAAGCUCACCGGAUAGGACAGCAGAAUGAUUGCCGGGCUGAAGACCCUGCAUGACUAGCUG